rfam:Acyrthosiphon pisum strain LSR1 Contig2868, whole genome shotgun sequence.
CAGGAGAUCCACGCAGGGAUGCGUGGAUCAGUUCGGGGCCGACCAGGGAUGGUCGAUCCCCGAACGGUCCGUC